rnacentral:rRNA from 1 species
UACGGGGGGAGCAAGCGUUGUUCGGCUUUACUGGGCGUAAAGGGCGCGUAGGCGGUCAGCACAAGUCAGUUGUGAAAUCUCCGGGCUUAACCCGGAAAGGUCAACUGAUACUGUGCGACUAGAGUGCGGAAGGGGCAACUGGAAUUCUCGGUGUAGCGGUGAAAUGCGUAGAUAUCAGGAGGAACACCGAUGGCGAAGGCAGGUCUCUGGGCUGACACUGACGCUCAUGCACGAAAGCGUGGGGAGCAAACAGG